AAUCUACCUUCUACUCUGGGAUAACUCCGGGAAACCGGGGCUAAUACUGGAUAUGAAAUCCGAUGGCAUCAUUGGGUUUGGAAAGUUUUUCGGUAGAAGAUGACCUCGCGGCCUAUCAGCUUGUUGGUGAGGUAAUGGCUCACCAAGGCGACGACGGGUAGCCGGCCUGAGAGGGCGACCGGCCACACUGGGACUGAGACACGGCCCAGACUCCUACGGGAGGCAGCAGUGGGGAAUAUUGGGCAAUGGAGGAAACUCUGACCCAGCGACGCCGCGUGCGG
rnacentral:rRNA from 1 species